GAUGAACGCUAGCUACAGGCUUAACACAUGCAAGUCGAGGGACCGGCGCACGGGUGAGUAACACGUAUCCAACCUGCCCUUUACUCGGGGAUAGCCUUUCGCAAGAACUAUUAAUACCCGAUAUAAAGGAUGGGGAUGCGUUCGAUUAGGUUGUUGGUGAGGUAACGGCUCACCAAGCCUUCGAUGGAUAGGGGUUCUGAUAGGCAGGUCCCCCAGAUUGGAACUGCGAUACGGUCUAAAACCCUAGGGGAGGCAGCAGUGAGGAACAUUGUGCAAGGGGCGCUAGCCUGAACCUGCCGAGUAGCGGGAAGGAGGAAGGCGUAGGGGUCGUAAUCUACUGUUAUAUAAGAAUAGGUAUUAUAUGAAUAAGGAUCGGCUAACUCCGUGCCAGCAGCCGCGGUAAUAC
rnacentral:rRNA from 1 species